UACGGAGGGGGCUAGCGUUGUCCGAAGUUACUGGGCGUAAAGCGCGCGUAGGCGGGUUGGUAAGUCCGCUGUGAAAGCCCGGAGCUCAACUCCGGAGGGUCGGUGGAUACUGCCAGUCUUGAAGGUGCUAGGGGGAGAUGGAAUUACCGGUGUAGCGGUGAAAUGCGUAGAUAUCGGUAGGAACACCAGUGGCGAAGGCGGUUGCCUGGAGCUUUGCUGACGCUGAGGCGCGAAAGCGUGGGGAGCGAUCCGG
rnacentral:rRNA from 1 species